GACGAACCACACGAACGUUAUUCGGAAUUACUGGGCUUAAAGGGUGCGUAGGCGGCGCAGAAAGUUGGGUGUGAAAUCCCUCGGCUCAACCGAGGAACUGCGCCCAAAACUACUGUGCUUGAGGAAGAUAGAGGUAAGCGGAAUUCCGGGUGUAGCGGUGAAAUGCGUAGAUAUGUGGAGGAACACCGAUGGCGAAGGCAGCCCCCUGGGUUAACACUGACGCUCAUGCACGAAAGCGUGGGGAGCAAACAGG
rnacentral:rRNA from 1 species